rnacentral:rRNA from 1 species
GAUGAACGCUGGCGGCGUGCCUAAUACAUGCAAGUCGAGCGAACAGAUGAGGAGCUUGCUCCUCUGACGUUAGCGGCGGACGGGUGAGUAACACGCGGAUAACCUACCUAUAAGACUGGGAUAACUUCGGGAAACCGGAGCUAAUACCGGAUAAUAUAUUGAACCGCAUGGUUCAAUAGUGAAAGACGGUUUUGCUGUCACUUAUAGAUGGAUCCGCGCCGCAUUAGCUAGUUGGUAAGGUAACGGCUUACCAAGGCGACGAUGCGUAGCCGACCUGAGAGGGUGAUCGGCCACACUGGAACUGAGACACGGUCCAGACUCCUACGGGAGGCAGCAGUAGGGAAUCUUCCGCAAAGGGCGAAAGCUUGACGGAGCAACGCCGCGUGAGUGAUGAAGGUCUUCGGAUCGUAAAACUCUGUUAUUAGGGAAGAACAAAUGUGUAAGUAACUAUGCACGUCUUGACGGUACCUAAUCAGAAAGCCACGGCUAACUACGUG